GGAGAGGCACAUAGGUUAGCAGCCCUGGGAGUCGAGGCAGCGGAGAGUGGAGGCCGUGAGUGUUUGUGUGUCCGGAACAGUGCUCAAAUAUCUGCCCAUUUCUGUCCAUCCCUCAUACCUGGAGCGCCCCUGAUCUCCUGACAGAUGUGUGACUCUGGUUGAGAGACAAACAGACAGACAGACCCUACAAUCUGUAACAUCAGUAAUAUCAGGACUCGCGUUGGCUUUCAUGUCUGGUGGCAGCUCGUGGAUGUCGCCGCCUCCUGGGAACUCUUUCAUUUCUUCCUGUCGAAAAAUGCAGAUAGUCUUUUUUUUCUCUUCCUCUCCUUCAUUAUUAGUAAAAUAUUAUUCUUUUGGGUCAGAAUUAGUUUCUAGUGCAGCUUGUGUGUGUUUGUGUGUGUUUUUCAACCUUAUGUUUUGUUAUUGUUAUCUUAAUUUUUGUACAUGUAAAUAUUCCCUUCAGGUUUUUAAUUUUCUGUGGUGUUUUCUUUUUGCUAUAUAAUUUUUAUUGCUAUUUUCUAGUUUUCAGUUUUCACAGUUUUUACGCUUUGGAUUAUUCAUCAAUCUUUUUUUUUUCGUAGUUUUGCAAUGCUUUCUCUGAGUGUUUAGAAUUAUUUCUCUCCAGUUUUAUGUAAUGUCUAUUUUAUGUCUUAUUUCUAUUUUCAUUUCCCUCAUUGUCCUCUCUCUUGGCCUAGCAAAUUGUUAUCCACAACAUUUCUCUCAAGUUUACAAGUUUAAAAUAAU